rnacentral:rRNA from 1 species
GAUGAACGCUGGCGGCGUGCCUAAUACAUGCAAGUCGAGCGAACGGACGAGAAGCUUGCUUCUCUGAUGUUAGCGGCGGACGGGUGAGUAACACGUGGAUAACCUACCUAUAAGACUGGGAUAACUUCGGGAAACCGGAUCUAAUACCGGAUGAUAUUUUGAACCGCAUGGUUCAACAGUGAAAGACGGUCUUGCUGUCACUUAUAGAUGGAUCCGCGCUGCAUUAGCUAGUUGGUAAGGUAACGGCUUACCAAGGCAACGAUGCAUAGCCGACCUGAGAGGGUGAUCGGCCACACUGGAACUGAGACACGGUCCAGACUCCUACGGGAGGCAGCAGUAGGGAAUCUUCGGCAAUGGGCGAAAGCCUGACGGAGCAACGCCGCGUGAGUGAUGAAGGUCUUCGGAUCGUAAAACUCUGUUAGUAGGGAAGAACAUAUGUGUAAGUAACUGUGCACAUCUUGACGGUACCUAAACAGAAAGCCACGGCUAACUACGUG